rnacentral:rRNA from 1 species
UACGGAGGGUGCAAGCGUUGUUCGGAAUCACUGGGCGUAAAGCGCGUGUAGGCGGCUAUUUAAGUCUGAUGUGAAAGCCCUGGGCUUAACCCAGGAAGUGCAUUGGAUACUGGGUAGCUCGAGUACCGGAGAGGAGGGUGGAAUUCCUGGUGUAGCGGUGAAAUGCGUAGAUAUCAGGAGGAACACCGGUGGCGAAGGCGUCCCUCUGGCCGGAUACUGACGCUGAGACGCGAAGGCGUGGGGAGCAAACAGG